rnacentral:lncRNA from 1 species
CUUGUAUCGAUGACCGUGCUGUGAAUUGGCAAAUCGGAUUUGUUUUUAGCCGCCAACAGCGCCAAAUGUCACAAAAUGCCCCCAGCUUCCAACUCUCUGCCCUGGAAAUAAUGUAAACUUGAUGGAUGAAUUGAUGGAGAGACAAUAGCAAAUACAACAUGCAACAUGCCACGAGGUAUGUUAAUAUGUACUUCUGGUACGGAAUGAAUACUUGUGUGUAGUUUCUAUGGGAAUACGUGUGCAUACUGAGGGGAAUUCUAGUAGUUAAUGCAAAAAGCAUUGAAGAAGAUAUGUCGGUGUUUUUCGUAUAUUAUAAUUAAAAGGCUGCAUUCUAAUGCAUUAUAGGGAUAGGUUUCUAAAUAUUUGUAUCUAUAAAGUUAUGAUACAUAUUUUUGUAUGCCAUGGAGUUUCCACUACGGAAAUCCUGUUCUACGAGCUAUUGUCGUGAUCUUUAAAACAGGCACAUCCAAGCAUCCCGCAGCAUCACCAUCAAUCGAAAAAAGUACAUUUAUAUUAGAUUAUUGUGGUAUAGCCCUGAUAUACUCCCCAACCAUCUGAAUUAUUCAGCCCAUCAUCAGCAUCAGCCCUUUUGAUUUCUACUUUUGGAAUCAUCGCCACUGCAAACAUCAUCGCCUCUACAUAUUUUUCAUUCCUCUUCAAAGAUUUUUGCACUUUUCAUGAAUGACCCCACACCAUUUAAAAUUUCUUGCAUUUGUUUCUGGAUUCUGCCACACACCAAUGAUAAUUAUAAAGCAAUUAUUUUCGAGCAAAAAAAUCCUUUUAAUAACAUUUCUGCAAAUGCCACAACGCUCUCCCAGCAGUAGCAACUUCUCCCUGAGACAAUGAACAUUUUCGUUUUGAGAUUGUGGGUAGGGGUAGGGGAAAAUGCAUAUGUAUGUAUGUAUGUAUAUGCCAUUCGUGAGCAACGGCAAGGCUGUGCGUUGCCAAUGUGAAAAUGACAGUAACUGUUGGUAAUUUGAAGACUACCGGGUACUCGAAGAGUAAAUAGGGUUAUUGUAUUUGUAUGUAACACACAGAAGGAAACGUUUCCGACCCCAUAAAGUAUAUAUAUUCUUGAUCAGCAUCAAUAGCCGAGUCGAUUGAACCAUGUCUGUCCGUCCGUCCGUCUUUCCGUCUGUCCGUCCGUCUUGUUGAGUUCCUGGAUCUCAGAGACCAUAAAAACUAGAGCCACCAAAUUGUGCAUCCAGACUUCUGUAUGCUCACACUGUUACAAGUAUAUUUAAAAAAUGAGCCACGCCCCCUUCCGCCCCCGCAAAAGUGCGAAAACCUCUUAAAUUUACAAUUUUGCAGAUAAAAGAAAACUUAAAACGCCAUUCCUUAGGGUAUGGCCAUAUCUAUCAAAUCACCAAAUUGGGAUCCGAUUGGAUCAUUAUUAUAGCCAGAAUGGAGAACUUAAUUUGCAGUGGCUAAACCCACCCUGUCCCGCAGCUUUUGUUGUUCUUUUUACAUUCUCUCAUUCACACUCUGCUUCUGCUUCACUCGGCCACUGCCUCUGCCGACUUUUAACUAACCCCGUCACGCAGCUUAUAUUUUUUUUUUUUUUUGUGAGGGGGCGCUGCCUCUGCCUCUGCCUCGUGUCUGCAGUGUGUGGGUCUAGGUGCGUCAGAGCGUGUUGGUGUGAGAACUGUUGUAGAAAGAAAAUAUGUAAAAUUUGACAAAACAUCGCUAAGGUGCAGAUGUAUUACUGAGUGCCGGGUAUAAAAGUUGUGACGCGUAAGAAGCGUCUCAAACGUCCCUUCUCGUUGUAAAUGUUGUUGGGGGCUUGGUCGCGCUCCAAUUUGUUGACAAACCAUUUUUAUACCCGGUACUCGAAGAGUAAAUAGGGGAUAUUGUAUUUGUGUGAAUAACGGUUGUAUGUAAGAUACAGAAGGAAGACACUUCUCAUCCAUCAGUGUUGUUUUGAAGAUAAAAGAAAACGCCAUUCCGUAGGGAAUGACCAUAUCUAUCAGAUCACCAAAUUGGGAUCCGAUUGAAUCAUUAUUAUAGACACAAUGAAGAAAUUAAUUUCCAGUGGCUAAACCCACCCAGUCCCGCAGCUUAUAUUUGUUUUUUGCACAUUCUCUCAUUCACACUCUGCUUCGCUCAGACACUUCUCUGCGUCUGUCUCUGCCGCGUCUCUGCCCAGACUCUGCAGUGUGUGGCUCUAGGGUGGCGAGCUAAAGGAGCGUGUGGAUGUGAGUAGAUGAUGUUGAUGUAGAUGACAGAAAGGUGCAGAUGUAGUACUGAGUGACGGGUAUAAAAGUUGUGACGGGUAUAAAGCAUCUCAAACGUCCCUUCUCGUUCGUUCUGAGUACUAGGCUUAAGCUUUGAAAUGCAAAAAUUAUGCUUUUUGUGCGUUAUUUUUCACGAAAGUUUGAUUUUGAAAACUCAGGAAAAGUCGAAAUAAUAUAUCCUGUGUACACUAUUUUUUUUCAGGUGGGCAUCGUUUGAGGUAUUGCUCAUCAAAAUCUAUGGAGAGACGGCCAGCAAAAAUUAUUCAACCAACACUAAAAAAAAUUAGAAAAAGUCCAAAAAGAGUACCUGUUGAAGGGUUGCGCGCCCAGCUGCCAGAGAAUUUCUGGCCUCACACUCGAAAAAUAUUGGAAAAGAAAAUACUAAAAUUGAAUAAAAGCCUAAACCAUGUCGGUUUUAAGUAUUGAUCGAGCAUUUUAAGCUUAAUUUUAUAGAUGCUUUCAUCAGCUUUAUAGAAUGGCUAAGUUUAUUACAACCAGAUGUAAGACACUUAAGUUAUGUGAAAAAAAGAAGCGCUACCUCUAAAAAAACCGUAACAAAAGAAUACCAGACUUUUACUGUUUUUUCAGAGGUAGCGCUUCUUUUUUUCACAUAACUUAAGUAUCUUACAUCUGGUUGUAAUAAAAACUCUUAAAAAAACAAGUUCUGCCAUAGAAAAAAACCAUAAUUCUUUAAAAAUUUAAAGCGCUCAGUCUAUCAGAAAAAUGUUGAAUUUUGACGAGUAGUGUUAUUUGAACUGUAGACAGUAACGGAAAAAAAUACUAGGAAAUAAAAUUUCCAGGCCAGGUGUAGUUUCCCUUUUUUAAAAUGACAGAAAACAGUCAGAUAGAAUGAUAAAUAUAGUAUCCAAAUCGUUUAUUAAAAAUUCAUCAAAACCAACGCACAUUCGUGGCAGGCGCUGAAAGCGCUUCUCGUAGGCCUUUCUUUAGCCGUUUGGAAACUCAAUUUCAAUUUCUUGCCCCACGCUCUCCCCAACGAAAUGACAGCUUCUUUGCCCAGCAUCUUCUGCAACUUGCGACUUGGGUGAAUUGGCUGCCAUAAAUCUUCAUAGAACAUUGUUAACUGCCGGCAACAGUGAAUAAAAAAUAUAAAAAUAAAAAUUUCAUUACAAUUUUUUUUCUUCCCAAAUUGUUGUUGUUGUUUUUUUUCGCCCUUUCAAAGUACAGAAAUGUAAUAAAUCUUAUUCUCGUUAACGUAGCACGACAUUUAAGUUUCG